rnacentral:tRNA from 20 species
GCGCCCAUCGUCUAGCGGUCCAGGACGUCGCCCUUUCACGGCGAAAACAGGGGUUCGAUUCCCCUUGGGCGCGCCA